AGUGUACAAGUUGUUUAGAUAAUGCUAGUCUUUGCUGAAGCACAGAAUCUGUGGUUGAUUCAAGACAGUGCAAAGGCAUUUGGCAUCAAAUUGUAGGCUUUCCAUCAGAUAUUUCAAUUCUUAAUCAUGGCUUUAACAGUACCCAAUGCCAUGGAUACAAUUGAUUCAGCCCAGAAGAAUGCAAUUGUACAUGAUCAAGAGUAUUUACUGCAGGGAUCAGUGUUGGAUGCAUCACUGUUAGUAGUGAUCGAUAGACUACGAGA